rnacentral:misc_RNA from 1 species
ACACCUCAACUCUCGUGGUUUGCCACGAUGAGCUUGGACUUUGGGGGUCUUGCUGGCCUAUGGUUGGCUCCUCUUAAAUGAAUCAGCUUGCCAGUGUUUGGUGGCAUCACAGGUGUGAUAACUAUCUACGCUUGUGGUUUUCUGCCAGGUAACCUUCAGUGAUGGAGGUUCGCUGGGGCUCACAAAUGUCUCUCCUCAGCGAGGACAGCUUUUUAAC